rnacentral:rRNA from 1 species
GACGAACGCUGGCGGCGUGCUUAACACAUGCAAGUCGAACGGAAAGGCCUCUUUCGGGGGGUUCUUCGGUUGGCGACGGGUGGGUUACCAGUUGGUUAACCUCCCCUUGACUUGGGAUUAAUUCCGGGAACUUGGGGCAAUUACUGGAUGGAACUUCUUCCUCCUGGGUGGGGUUGGAAAGUUUUCGGCGGUUGGGGUUGGAUUCGCGGCUUAUCAGCUUGUUGGUGGGGUAGUGGCUUACCAAGGCUUUGACGGGUAGCCGGCCUGAGAGGGUGACCGGCCACAUUGGGACUGAGAUACGGCCCAGACUCCUACGGGAGGCAGCAGUGGGGAAGAUUGCACAAUGGGUGGAAGCCUGAUGCAGCAACGCCGUGGGCGGGAGGACGGCCUUCGGGUUGUAAACCGCUUUCGCUCAUGACGAAGCUUUGUGUGACGGUAGUGGGUAAAGAAGCACCGGCUAACUACGUG